GUGUUUUUCUAUAUUGUGAUGUUAUACUAUUGUUUCAGAAAAAGGGAGAAGGUUUGGUACCAUUAAAAUGUUUAACUCCCAGUUCAAAUGUUUGCACCUGUCCUAAGUCAGGAAUCUGAUGUACAGUAGUUGUCGUUUGUUUAUGUAAUUUAUACAUGUUUCUCGUUUCUCAUUUUUUAUAUAGAUUAGAAUGUUGGUUUUCCCGUUUGAAUGGUUUUACACUAGUAAUUUUGGGGCCCUUUAUACUUGUUGUUGGUGUGAGCCAAGGCUCCGUGUUGAAGGCUGUAC
rnacentral:lncRNA from 1 species